AUUGAACGCUGGCGGCAGGCCUAACACAUGCAAGUCGAACGGCAGCACAGAAGAGCUUGCUCUUUGGGUGGCGAGUGGCGGACGGGUGAGUAACACGUAGGAAUCUACCCAGUAGUGGGGGAUAACCUGGGGAAACCCAGGCUAAUACCGCAUACGCCCUGAGGGGGAAAGCGGGGGAUCUUCGGACCUCGCGCUAUUGGAUGAGCCUGCGUCGGAUUAGCUAGUUGGUGGGGUAAGGGCCCACCAAGGCGACGAUCCGUAGCUGGUCUGAGAGGAUGACCAGUCACACCGGAACUGAGACACGGUCCGGACUCCUACGGGAGGCAGCAGUGGGGAAUUUUGGACAAUGGGCGCAAGCCUGAUCCAGCCAUGCCGCGUGAGUGAAGAAGGCCUCGGUUGUAAG
rnacentral:rRNA from 1 species